AGUUCGUUAGCUCAGUUGGCAGAGCACUCGGCUCAUAACCGAUGAGGCCGCUGGUUCGACUCCAGCACGAACUACCA
rnacentral:tRNA from 1 species